UUAAGCGACUAAGCGUACACGGUGGAUGCCCUGGCAGUCAGAGGCGAUGAAGGACGUGCUAAUCUGCGAUAAGCGUCGGUAAGGUGAUAUGAACCGUUAUAACCGGCGAUUUCCGAAUGGGGAAACCCAGUGUGAUUCGUCACACUAUCAUUAACUGAAUCCAUAGGUUAAUGAGGCGAACCGGGGAACUGAAACAUCUAAGUACCCCGAGGAAAAGAAAUCAACCGAGAUUCCCCCAGUAGCGGCGAGCGAACGGGGAGCAGCCCAGAGCCUGAAUCAGUGUGUGUGUUAGUGGAAGCGUCUGGAAAGGCGCGCGAUACAGGGUGACAGCCCCGUACACAAAAAUGCACAUGCUGUGAGCUCGAUGAGUAGGGCGGGACACGUGGUAUCCUGUCUGAAUAUGGGGGGACCAUCCUCCAAGGCUAAAUACUCCUGACUGACCGAUAGUGAACCAGUACCGUGAGGGAAAGGCGAAAAGAACCCCGGCGAGGGGAGUGAAAAAGAACCUGAAACCGUGUACGUACAAGCAGUGGGAGCACAGAGCAAUCUGUGUGACUGCGUACCUUUUGUAUAAUGGGUCAGCGACUUAUAUUCUGUAGCAAGGUUAACCGAAUAGGGGAGCCGAAGGGAAACCGAGUCUUAACUGGGCGUUAAGUUGCAGGGUAUAGACCCGAAACCCGGUGAUCUAGCCAUGGGCAGGUUGAAGGUUGGGUAACACUAACUGGAGGACCGAACCGACUAAUGUUGAAAAAUUAGCGGAUGACUUGUGGCUGGGGGUGAAAGGCCAAUCAAACCGGGAGAUAGCUGGUUCUCCCCGAAAGCUAUUUAGGUAGCGCCUCGUGAAUUCAUCUCCGGGGGUAGAGCACUGUUUCGGCAAGGGGUCAUCCCGACUUACCAACCCGAUGCAAACUGCGAAUACCGGAGAAUGUUAUCACGGGAGACACACGGCGGGUGCUAACGUCCGUCGUGAAGAGGGAAACAACCCAGACCGCCAGCUAAGGUCCCAAAGUCAUGGUUAAGUGGGAAACGAUGUGGGAAGGCCCAGACAGCCAGGAUGUUGGCUUAGAAGCAGCCAUCAUUUAAAGAAAGCGUAAUAGCUCACUGGUCGAGUCGGCCUGCGCGGAAGAUGUAACGGGGCUAAACCAUGCACCGAAGCUGCGGCAGCGACACUAUGUGUUGUUGGGUAGGGGAGCGUUCUGUAAGCCUGUGAAGGUGUACUGUGAGGUAUGCUGGAGGUAUCAGAAGUGCGAAUGCUGACAUAAGUAACGAUAAAGCGGGUGAAAAGCCCGCUCGCCGGAAGACCAAGGGUUCCUGUCCAACGUUAAUCGGGGCAGGGUGAGUCGACCCCUAAGGCGAGGCCGAAAGGCGUAGUCGAUGGGAAACAGGUUAAUAUUCCUGUACUUGGUGUUACUGCGAAGGGGGGACGGAGAAGGCUAUGUUGGCCGGGCGACGGUUGUCCCGGUUUAAGCGUGUAGGCUGGUUUUCCAGGCAAAUCCGGAAAAUCAAGGCUGAGGCGUGAUGACGAGGCACUACGGUGCUGAAGCAACAAAUGCCCUGCUUCCAGGAAAAGCCUCUAAGCAUCAGGUAACAUCAAAUCGUACCCCAAACCGACACAGGUGGUCAGGUAGAGAAUACCAAGGCGCUUGAGAGAACUCGGGUGAAGGAACUAGGCAAAAUGGUGCCGUAACUUCGGGAGAAGGCACGCUGAUAUGUAGGUGAAGUCCCUCGCGGAUGGAGCUGAAAUCAGUCGAAGAUACCAGCUGGCUGCAACUGUUUAUUAAAAACACAGCACUGUGCAAACACGAAAGUGGACGUAUACGGUGUGACGCCUGCCCGGUGCCGGAAGGUUAAUUGAUGGGGUCAGCGCAAGCGAAGCUCUUGAUCGAAGCCCCGGUAAACGGCGGCCGUAACUAUAACGGUCCUAAGGUAGCGAAAUUCCUUGUCGGGUAAGUUCCGACCUGCACGAAUGGCGUAAUGAUGGCCAGGCUGUCUCCACCCGAGACUCAGUGAAAUUGAACUCGCUGUGAAGAUGCAGUGUACCCGCGGCAAGACGGAAAGACCCCGUGAACCUUUACUAUAGCUUGACACUGAACAUUGAGCCUUGAUGUGUAGGAUAGGUGGGAGGCUUUGAAGUGUGGACGCCAGUCUGCAUGGAGCCGACCUUGAAAUACCACCCUUUAAUGUUUGAUGUUCUAACGUUGACCCGUAAUCCGGGUUGCGGACAGUGUCUGGUGGGUAGUUUGACUGGGGCGGUCUCCUCCUAAAGAGUAACGGAGGAGCACGAAGGUUGGCUAAUCCUGGUCGGACAUCAGGAGGUUAGUGCAAUGGCAUAAGCCAGCUUGACUGCGAGCGUGACGGCGCGAGCAGGUGCGAAAGCAGGUCAUAGUGAUCCGGUGGUUCUGAAUGGAAGGGCCAUCGCUCAACGGAUAAAAGGUACUCCGGGGAUAACAGGCUGAUACCGCCCAAGAGUUCAUAUCGACGGCGGUGUUUGGCACCUCGAUGUCGGCUCAUCACAUCCUGGGGCUGAAGUAGGUCCCAAGGGUAUGGCUGUUCGCCAUUUAAAGUGGUACGCGAGCUGGGUUUAGAACGUCGUGAGACAGUUCGGUCCCUAUCUGCCGUGGGCGCUGGAGAACUGAGGGGGGCUGCUCCUAGUACGAGAGGACCGGAGUGGACGCAUCACUGGUGUUCGGGUUGUCAUGCCAAUGGCACUGCCCGGUAGCUAAAUGCGGAAGAGAUAAGUGCUGAAAGCAUCUAAGCACGAAACUUGCCCCGAGAUGAGUUCUCCCUGACUCCUUGAGAGUCCUGAAGGAACGUUGAAGACGACGACGUUGAUAGGCCGGGUGUGUAAGCGCAGCGAUGCGUUGAGCUAACCGGUACUAAUGAACCGUGAGGCUUAACCU
rnacentral:rRNA from 1 species